AUACGGAGGAUGCGAGCGUUAUCCGGAUUUAUUGGGUUUAAAGGGAGCGUAGGUGGGAUAUUAAGUCAGCUGUGAAAGUUUGGGGCUCAACCUUAAAAUUGCAGUUGAUACUGGUUUCCUUGAGUACGGUACAGGUGGGCGGAAUUCGUGGUGUAGCGGUGAAAUGCUUAGAUAUCACGAAGAACUCCGAUCGCGAAGGCAGCUCACCGGGCCGGAACUGACACUGAUGCUCGAAAGUGCGGGUAUCAAACAGGAUUAGAUACCCUGGUAGUCCGCACAGUAAACGAUGAAUACUCGCUGUUUGCGAUACACGGUAAGCGGCCAAGCGAAAGCGUUAAGUAUUCCACCUGGGGAGUACGCCGGCAACGGUGAAACUCAAAUGAAUUAACGGGG
rnacentral:rRNA from 1 species